GGGAUUUUUAGUGGCUUCAAUGUGAGAAACUCUUCCCCAGGUCCCUCCAAAUGGGAGUUUAUAGGAUGGCAGUCCGUUUCUUAGAGAAGUUCCUCAGGGGACUGGGUGUUUCUCACUCAGCUUCGUUCUUGCGUCAGCUGCUCUGACAGAGCGUUUUUGGCUCCUCUAAGGAGAAAAAGGAAAAGCAGCAGCAGCAGCUUGCCAAUUUCAAAGAAAGAAAUGGAGAUUCCCAGGUGGCAGAAAGGAAGACAGACUUCAUCCUGAAGCCCCAAGGUUUUGGACCCUUGUCUCAGUGGCAGAGCGUGGGACUCAGGACUAACCACUCGGCACACGGUGGCCACAGUGACUGGCUCAGGCCUAGGCAGGUGACAGAGUCAGAGCCAGUGAGAUGCGCCAAGUCUUUCCUUGGAAAUGCUGGGACAAGGAUGACUCAGCUGUAUUUCUCAGGGUCAGAUGAAGAAAGUGUGUGAGACCUGGAGCUGCCACAGUCAUGUCAUGACCCCAAGGCCCGUGGGAGAGUGCAGUCAGCAUGAAGAGGUGCGCAGCUGAGAGCUGGAGAGGAUGCAGGAGGGCAAGGGCUUUUCAGUUAUGUGACCAAUAAAUCCU
rnacentral:lncRNA from 1 species